rnacentral:rRNA from 1 species
UACGGAGGGUGCAAGCGUUGUCCGGAAUCACUGGGCGUAAAGGGCGCGUAGGCGGCCUGGUAAGUAGGGGGUGAAAUCCUGCGGCUUAACCGCAGGGCUGCCUUCUAAACUGUCAGGCUUGAGCACGGUAGAGGCAGAUGGAAUUCCCGGUGUAGCGGUGGAAUGCGUAGAGAUCGGGAAGAACAUCAGUGGCGAAGGCGGCGCUCUGGGCCGGAACUGACGCUGAGGAGCGAAAGCGUGGGGAGCGAACAGG